rnacentral:rRNA from 1 species
UACGAAGGGUGCAAGCGUUACUCGGAAUUACUGGGCGGAAAACGUGCGUAAAUGGUGAGUUAAGUCUGUCGUGAAAACCCCGGACUCAACCUGGGAAUGGCGAUGGAUACUGGCUCGCUAGAGUGCGAUAGAGGAGAGUGGAAUUCCCGGUGUAGCAGUGAAAUGCGUAGAGAUCGGGAGGAACAUCAGUUGCGAAAACGGCUCUCUGGACCAGCACUGACACUGAGGCACGAAAGCGUGGGGAGCAAACAGG